rnacentral:rRNA from 1 species
AUUGAACGCUGGCGGCAGGCCUAAUACAUGUAAGUCGAACGAGUGGCGCACGGGUGAGUAAUUAUAGCUAAACUGCACUACACUAGAGGACAACAGUUGGAAACGGCAGCUAAUACUCUAUAGUGUAGGAUGAGGUUAUAUUGUAUCAGCUAGUUGGUGAGGUAAUGGCUCACCAAGGCUAUGACGCAUAACUGGUCUGAGAGGAUGAUCAGUCACACUGUAACUGAGACACGGUCCAGACUCCUACGGGAGGUAGCAGUAGGGAAUAGUGCGCAAUGGGCGCGACCUGACGCAGCCAUGCCGCGUGAAUGAAGAAUGCCUUCGGGUUGUAAAGUUCUUUCGGUAGCGAGGCGUUAACUACAGAAGAAGCACCGGCUAACUCCGUGCCAGCAGCCGCGGUAAUAC